ACGGCUACCUUGUUACGACUUCACCCCAGUCAUGAAUCACUCCGUGGUAACCGUCCCCCUUGCGGUUAGACUAGCUACUUCUGGAGCAACCCACUCCCAUGGUGUGACGGGCGGUGUGUACAAGGCCCGGGAACGUAUUCACCGUGACAUUCUGAUUCACGAUUACUAGCGAUUCCGACUUCACGCAGUCGAGUUGCAGACUGCGAUCUGGACUACGAUCGGUUUUAUGGGAUUAGCUCCACCUCGCGGCUUGGCAACCCUUUGUACCGACCAUUGUAGCACGUGUGUAGCCCUGGCCGUAAGGGCCAUGAUGACUUGACGUCAUCCCCACCUUCCUCCGGUUUGUCACCGGCAGUCUCCUUAGAGUGCCCACCAUAACG
rnacentral:rRNA from 1 species